CCUACGGGAGACAGCAGUGAGGAAUAUUGGUCAAUGGUCGGGAGACUGAACCAGCCAAGCCGCGUGAGGGAGGAAGGUCCAGAGUAUCGUAAACCUCUUUUGUCAGGGAACAAAGGCGGGGACGUGUCCCCGGAUGAGUGUACCUGAAGAAAAAGCAUCGGCUAACUCCGUGCCAGCAGCCGCGGUAAUACGGAGGAUGCGAGCGUUAUCCGGAUUUAUUGGGUUUAAAGGGUGCGCAGGCGGUCUGUUAAGUCAGCGGUCAAAGCCCGGGGCUCAACCCCGGCCCGCCGUUGAAACUGGCAGGCUCGAGUGGGAGAGAAGUAUGCGGAAUGCGCGGUGUAGCGGUGAAAUGCAUAGAUAUCGCGCAGAACUCCGAUUGCGAAGGCAGCAUGCCGGCUCCACACUGACGCUGAGGCACUAAAGCGUGGGUAUCGAACAGGAUUAGAUACCCCUGUAGUC
rnacentral:rRNA from 1 species